rnacentral:rRNA from 1 species
UACGUAGGAGGCAAGCGUUGUCCGGAUUCAUUGGGCGUAAAGAGCGCGCAGGCGGUCGUUCAAGUCGCGUGUGAAAGCCCCCCGGCUCAACUGGGGAGGGUCACGCGAUACUGAUCGACUGGAAGGCAGGAGAGGGUAGUGGAAUUCCCGGUGUAGUGGUGAAAUGCGUAGAUAUCGGGAGGAACACCAGUGGCGAAGGCGACUACCUGGCCUGUUCUUGACGCUGAGGCGCGAAAGCUAGGGGAGCAAACGGG